UGUCCAGACUCCUACGGGAGGCAGCGGUGAGGAAUAUUGGUCAAUGGCCGAGAGGCUGAACCAGCCAAGUCGCGUGAGGGAUGACGGCCCUACGGGUUGUAAACCUCUUUUGUCGGGGAGCAAAGAGAGUCACGUGUGGCUCAUUGAGAGUACCCGAAGAAAAAGCAUCGGCUAACUCCGUGCCAGCAGCCGCGGUAAUACGGAGGAUGCGAGCGUUAUCCGGAUUUAUUGGGUUUAAAGGGUGCGCAGGCGGAGGUGCAAGUCAGUGGUCAAAUUGCGGGGCUCAACCCCGUACUGCCGUUGAAACUGCAUCCCUUGAGUGCGCGAGAAGUAUGCGGAAUGCGUGGUGUAGCGGUGAAAUGCAUAGAUAUCGCGCAGAACCCCGAUUGCGAAGGCAGCAUGCCGGCUUCCGACUGACGCUGAAGCACGAAAGCGUGGGGAUCGAACAGGAUUAGAUACCCCUGUA
rnacentral:rRNA from 1 species